CCGGUCCCCAGCCCACCCCUUCCCGGACCGGACCUCUCCUGGUUGUUUACUCCCAGGCGCUCCCUCCUCGAGGUGCCCCGCUGUAACCUGCAGGCCUGCAGACAGACUCCAGACAGGGGCAGACGGUGUCUUGACUGGCAAAAAGGACCAAGACGAGAGGGACUUGGGCAGACAUAGGCUCCUGGUCACGUCCUGUGAUGAUGUGUUGCUGGGCUCACUCUUGCCAGUGAGGAUUGAAGUCUAAGGAACUCCACUUUACAGGGCCAUUUGGCCUGGAGUUGAGUUCUGCCCUCUCCAGCCCAGAAGUUCCUUGUGCUAUUGCCUCUUCUGCAUUCUUUCCUGAUGCCACCCAUGGCAAUACUUUGGUCUCAAGACUUGCUGCUGUGGGCUGCAGCAGGCCUUGUCCAGCUUGUGGCUCUCAGGCUCUCCUCCCCCACCACCACUCAAAGGGAAAUAAAUAGUCAAGUAGGAAAUGCAAUGACUAGAGCCUUCUCUUUUUUGCUUCUGGCCUCAUCCUACCUGGGCGUACACACAUACAUCUUGUACAUGCCCAGAAACAAGGAAGGAUCUUUGAGGAAAGGUGGGGUAGCAAUUCAGUUUGCUGGGAAACACUCUGGGACAGGGAAAGAUGGUCAAUUUGGGCCAAAGGGAGGCAGCACCAGGCUCUGGACAGGGCAGGACUUGGGCUGUUGCUGGAGGGCUUUGGAGGCCUGGGAGCCUUCUACCCCUCUCUGUGCUUUUGUGUACUCCUUCUUCUCCCUAAAAGGUAGAGGAAGGGACUGUGGUAGAACAAUGAAUGAGAUCUGUUUCAACUCUAGGAUGCUAUGACUCCAUCCUGCCUACCAUGAUGAGGAGCUUCUCUUGGGAACACCAUUUGUCCUGACUGGAGAUCUUGCAUUCUUGGGGUGCUGCUGCCUUUCCCAGGAUCCAGAAGCAUUCAGAACAGAACUAAUCAUAUGGUGGCCUUCUCUGCUGGACUUUGAAACACAGCCUUACUCUUGGCUUUUCAGAGACUCUCAAAAGGUCUCAGACUCCAGUUGGAGGUCUGGGUGACAGGUUGGGACAGAGGCAAGGUAGGUGACAUAAUUUGCAUGGCCUAGGGUAAAAUGAUAAUGCAAGUCCCCUUAUUCAAAAACCAAAAAUAAACAAUCAAAUAAAUGAACUCUACUGCAGAAUACUUUCUUUUUAAAAACAAGAAAAAAGUACCAUUAAAGUACUAAAAGACCAUAUUUUGCCAUAGUGCACACUUUUUUGCCCA